UAAUCACUUAUCGUCGCGUGCGUGCCGCUUUCCUCAGUGCGCGCGCGGCGGCCGAGCGCGACGCGACAUGGACGCGCGCACACUCGCCGACCAGGCGCUGCCAAUGGCGCGCGUCGCUAACUGCAUCGAAAUAGUAGAGCCCGCCGCCGAGGACUGCCUCGCUUCCCUUCCGCCUGAAGGAAACGUCAAAUUGCGCAACUACCGUUUGUUGAGUGAAAACCUACGCGCGUACACGCCGACCGGUGAUAUUCAUACUUCGCCGACGAAGGGGAAGCUAGUGUCGAAGUUUGACGUGUGGGGUUCGCUGUCGCCCCCGCGGGCGAGGAUCCUCGAGCUGGUGCGGCCGACGGACCCAGGCCGGGCCGCGCUGGAGGCCAUCGUGCGGCCCGCGCCGCGCCGCGGCCUCGCGCGGCCCCUCGACGAGGACGCGCGGCGCUUCCUGCAGCGAGCGCUCCUCUCGCCGAGCCCACAGAACUCGUCGAACGGCGCCACUCCCGAACCACAAGUGCACACACAGUUGAGUUCCGAACGCGAACGGACCGAACGAACUGAAGCUCAGAACGACAACGUCGAUGAAGACUGUCGGCAAGCAAACAAUCAGAACUCGAAGGAGAGAUCUCUAGCUGACGAGUUGAGAGAAGCUGAGGAGGAGGAGCGAUCAGGGGGGAGUAUACGCCGGGAUCUGUUGAGAGAGUUCAGGAGACGAGGGGGAGGGAUAAGGGAGGCGUUCGAGCGGGAACGGUUGGGGAAGCUGGCGCUGUCUGUGGAGGAUGAUGAAGGGGAGGAGUGCGGGGGGCUGUCAGCGGCUGCAAGGAGGCUGGACGCGCUGCUGGCGGAGUCGCGAGAGCUGCACGACGAGCUGGCCAACAUACACGAAGACAUCCAGUUGCAGUGCGCCCGCGCCGGGCGUUGCGCGGCGGCAGCGCGCGCGCUGGGAGCAGAGUCCCGCGCGGUGCGCUACCUCGACGACGUGGUGGCGCUGCUGCGCGGGAACGUGCAUGCUGCGCACAACGCGCGCAAGUGGCCCUUCGCGCUGGGCAGGCGGGAUCCUGCGAGGAGUUACGUUGUCUGAUCUCAGGUUAUAGGCGUGAUACGAUGCUAGUCACACAUUCUCCAAACUCGUUGUUACGGAUUUUGGAAGCGACUGCCUGCCUGACCUUCCAACCAGCGAAGGGAAAACCAGCCCAAUACAGGAGAUGACUUCUGACAUCGCAAAGGUGACCGAGAUAUGUCAGCGAUAACCAAUGUUACGACAUAUAAUAAGUACUUGUUAUAUCUGGUGAGAAGUGACUUUAGGUUACUAGGUUGUUUACCAGACCUGUUAGUUUGAGUAAUUUAUAUUUUUACAAACUUUUUAAGUCUAUUUUGAGCAAGCGUACGUUCCAGAUAGGCAGUUACAACCAUUGCAAGAAGCAGAGUUGUUAUUAUAACAAAAUGCCGAGGGAGCAUAGCCAUUGGACCGAAAUAUGCACAAAACGAGCAUGUUAUACGAGGCAACGAUCGCAUUAUAAAACUUUUCAUAUCAUUCAUUCCUUUCUUGGUAUCGCUCAAAUACAACCCGCACUUGUGUUACUACGCAAUGAAUGAGGGGUAAAUCGAUGUGGCUGUCCACCCAGACAUGUUUUGGUGCGGCCGCUUCACGCGCCGACGUCAGUUAACAGGCGACAUGCCGACUGAUGUAAUUUAGUGCUGAGGGUCCUCCCUUAUUUCUAUGUUCCGUGAUUGCUAAGCAUGUGCUCCGCUCGCUGAAGAGGGCACGCCUUACUAUGUAUUAUACGUGCGUACCAUAUGCCUAAUCAAGGAUAUAAAAGUACACUGCGUGUGUUUCUCCAAAUGUUUGUUUCUGCCUUUACGCUGGGACAGCCCACUUUAAACAAUUACUCAUAAUAACAUCGAAAAUUAUUUCCUGUUAUAGCCAAAUAAAAUAACAAAGAUUAGGUUCAUUGCGAAGGUUUUUAAAUGUAGCAGCAGUCUAUUACUUAGAUAUACAACAAGUUUUGUGUUUAUUAUAAAGCUUUUAUUGUACAUGACCAGAUGACGAUUAUUUUAAUAAUUUUGACCCGGAGAUUAUAAACAUUGUUAAUGAAAAAAAAAGAGACAAAGUGUUACUAUAUCAAUUAGUAUCUAAAAAGUAUGAUGAAUACUGAGAUCUAUUUUUCAAACAUAUAAAAAGUCGUCUAAAGAGUCGUUAGUACUGUAAGUUUAUAAUUAGGUAAGUAUAAUCUCAAUUAUACUCAAGUUAUUGCGACUGAAUCUAUCUUAUGGUUAGUGAAAUUAGUAUUUUAUGUAACAGGAGUUUAUUAAGUAAUCAAUAAUUAUUUUGUAAUAUAAGAAAGAAGUCUGGUAAUUUAGUACUGCUACAUUAGAAUUAUUAGGCCAAAGUUAGCUAAUUUGAUUUUUAUAAAGAAUAAGUUAUAAACAUCCUUAAUUCACACAUCUUUCCAAAUUACAUUUAGCGUAGCUUAAAGCCGUCAUCAUUGUUAUCUUAUAUGUUUAUAAAAUGAUUUAUGAUACGACUUAAAUCUACUGUUAAAUACUUGCCUAACCUAUCUCAGUAUAUAAAAUAACAAAGAUCAACAUUUCAAAAUAUUUACGAUACUCAUAAAGAAACUAUUUCUUACACAAAAAUGAUUUCUUAACCAUUAGCAUAAGUCAUUUUCUUCAAUAUCGAUACCAUAAUAGUUUCUUUAUCCUAUUCUAUAAGUUGUUAGUCACUAAAUAUUAAGUAGCUGUAAGUACCGGGUAUAUAAACUGUGGCUGUAACGUGAUCUGUCUUGUGCUUGGCUGAAUAUAAACAUAUUCAUUG